CCAAGGAGGAAAAUCAAUCACGAUUGCAGAAAAUCUUACAGUUCUAGGCUUCCAAGGAAGUCUAUGAUCAUGUCACUAUUCAUGCGCUCGAGAAUGAGAUGAUUGGUGGACCACCAACGAAUUUCUUUCCAAUAUUUGGUGGUUUCUACCAUCAGAUAUUUGUUUCUUCUUUUUUUCAAGUUACCAUUAUAAUAAGCUUUCAUUCACUGUUUGUUUACUUGUUCAGGAAGCGGAAAAACUUACACUAUGAAGCCAUUGCCCCUUAAGGCCUCUCGAGAUAUCUUGAAGCUGAUGCACCAUACUUACUGGAACCAGGGCUUUCAGUUGUUUUUCAGCUUCUUUGAGAUAUAUAUAUGGAGGAAAACUUUUUGAUCUCCUCAGCGAUAGAAAGAAACUUUGCAUAAGAGAGGAUGGUAAACAGCAAGUUUGCAUUGUUGGUUUGCAACAGUGCAAAGUGUCAGAUGUGGAGACAAUCCAGGAGCUCAUAGAGAAGGGAAAUGCUACAAGAAGUGCAGGCACAACAGGUGCAAAUGAGGAAUCAUCACGUUCACAUGCCAUUCUUCAGCUUGCUAUUCAAAGGUCUGCUGAUGGCAGUGAAUCUAAACCUCCGAGAGUUUUUGGCAAGCUCUCCUUCAUAGAUCUUGCUGGAGGUGAAUGAGGUGCAGAUACUACUAAAGGAGAUGAACCUGUUGGUUGAGGCAGAUCAACUAGGAAAUCAGUUGGAUGAUUAUAUAUCUAGAUUGAAUGCAAUCCUGUCCCAGAAGGCUGCUGGCAUUCUACAACUACAAAACCGUCUGAUGUCUAAAGGAGC